rnacentral:misc_RNA from 1 species
CUUCUUUAGGACGAACAUUUUGAUUCAACUCUUCUCUCGUUUACAUUUCAACUUUUUUCGUCGACUUUACUAAAUUAAACAUUUUUUUAUUUUUACAUCUCUUUUCAUGUUCUCUUUAUAACUAAACUACUCCUCUCUUCAUUUUCCCUUUACAACUACUUUUUUCCGGAUUCUGCUUGCAUAUCAUUCAUUAAAGAGUUCUAUCCAUACACACCUUCCCUCCUUUCUUGACUUUCUAUUCAUUAUCCAAUGGACGAUUAAAUCCACCGGGUCGGUUCAUAUACUGUCUAUACUUGGUUUUCUUUUGCUUGUACACCUGGCCCACGUCUCCAUGCUUCUUCCCCGUCGUUGUGUCAAAUCCCGAAAAUCCCAUAAUACGUUUCAUCUCUGCCGUCGCUUCAUCCUCUUGUUCCACAAUUUCUUCCUCAGCGCUCUUUGUCCUCGUCAUCGCAUCGUGGCUUUUUCCUACUUCCAAAGACCCAUCCUUAUCCUCCUUUACUCCAUCCAUCUUGUCGCCUUGAUCAACAGGCCUUUCUUCCUCUUCUUUUGGAGAUGGUGCUUGCAAUUUUUCAUGCUCUCUUUUCCUUUCCAACCCCUCCCCUUCAGGAGAAAAGGGUGAGACACCGUCUCUUCGUUCCUUCCGAUCCCGUCGACCUUCAUAGUCUCGCUCUCGAAAUCUUUCUCGGCCAUGCUUCAGCUCCGGUUGCCAGUUUCGUUCAUGCUCUACUGGACGCCUAGGGCUUUCCUCUCGCACAGACUCUCGAUGCCUUUCGUAACGAUCGCGUCUUCUAGCUGGACUGUAAUCUCUACGUUGUGAAUCCUCGUAACGUCUACUACUUCUCUCGUCUCUAUAAUUUCGACGAUAUUCACGAUAAUCCCUGUCUCGUUGAUCACCGCGUGAGCGACUGGAUUCGUAAUUUCGGCCUUGCGCAUAAUUUCGACGGUGUUCACCGCUUCUUGACGAAGACAUUGCUACUAUACCAAAAAGGAAUCCCCGAUUAUCUUCUCCAAAACUUUUCAACUAUCCCAAACUUCACAGUAGAUUGAACAAAUAAACAAUUUCCCUUAGAAGCUAAAUCUUCUA